rnacentral:rRNA from 1 species
AUUGAACGCUGGCGGCAGGCCUAACACAUGCAAGUCGAGCGGAUGAAGGGAGCUUGCUCCUGGAUUCAGCGGCGGACGGGUGAGUAAUGCCUAGGAAUCUGCCUGGUAGUGGGGGAUAACGUCCGGAAACGGGCGCUAAUACCGCAUACGUCCUGAGGGAGAAAGUGGGGGAUCUUCGGACCUCACGCUAUCAGAUGAGCCUAGGUCGGAUUAGCUAGUUGGUGGGGUAAAGGCCUACCAAGGCGACGAUCCGUAACUGGUCUGAGAGGAUGAUCAGUCAACUGGAAACGGGGACACGGCCCAGCUCCCACGGGGGGCCAGCAGUGGGAAAUAUUGGACAAUGGGGGAAACCCUGAUCCAGCCAGGCGGCGGUGUUAAAGAAGUUUUCGGAUUGUAAAGCACUUUAAGUUGGGAGGAAGGGCAGUAAGUUAAUACCUUGCUGUUUUGACGUUACCAACAGAAUAAGCACCGGCUAACUUCGUG